AACGGCUCAGUAACACGUCGAUAAUCUGCCCUUAGAUUGAGGAUACCCUUGGGAAACUAAGGUUAAAACUCAAUAGUAAAAGAAUUCUGGAAUGAAUCUUUUGUUAAACGCAAGGUCUAAGGAUGAGUCGGCGGCGGAUUAGGCAGUUGGCGGUGUAACGGACCACCAAACCUAAGAUCCGUAGGGGCCCUGAGAGGGGUAGCCCCGAGAGGGACACUGAAAUACUGGUCCCAGCUCCACGGAGUGCAGCAGGCGCGAAACCUCCACAAUGCGCGAAAGCGUGAUGGGGGGAUCCCGAGUGCUUAUGCUUAUUGCAUAAGCUUUUGCCAAGAGUAAACAUCUUGGAGAAUAAGUGGUGGGUAAGACCGGUGCCAGCAGCCGCGGUAACCCCGGCGCCACGAGUGGCAAUCCUGUAUUUGGCCUAAAGCAUUCGUAGCCGGUUUAAAAAAUCCUUUGUGAAAUUGUUGAACUCAAUACAACAGCGUGCAGGGGACACUUUUAGACUAGAGACUGGGAGGAGUUAGGGGUAUUUCUAGGGGAACGGUUAAAUGUUAUAAUCCUAGAAAGACCACCUGUGGCGAAGGCGCCUAACUAGAACAGUUCUGACGGUGAGGGAUGGAAGCUAGGGGAGCGAUCCGGAUUAGAUACCCGAGUAGUCCUAGCCGUAAACUCUGUGAGCUGGGUGUCGCAUAUUCUACGUGAAUGUGCGGUGUCGAAACGAAGGUGUUAAGCUCACCGC
rnacentral:rRNA from 1 species